UUGAUGUUUCUGUUCAAAACUCCCACUCAAACUUUUCCAAGAAUAUUGAGUGCUCCUACUAUACCUUCUGCUGAAAUGCUCUCAACACAUUCAAGUACUUCCUUGGAGAUUAUUGAUUUUUCUGUUCUUUUAAGACACUGUUUCAAUAGGGUCUGUUCCUAAAACUCUCUGGUUUUUUACUCUAAGGGUGUACUAUGCCCCUCUAAACUCCUCUAUCUUUUUGGUUUUGUUAUGAAUAUCUAUCUAUUGUACAUCUGUGUGUAUUUUUUUUAUUAUGCCAAAGGGGGAGAUUUAUAUCCACAAAAUAACAGGGAUAAGCGCAUAUAGACAUGGUGGAUCUAUGCAAGCAAACAGGGGGAGCUUCAGGAAGUCUCAUGAACUAAAUCAUUAUAUCUUUUGAUAUCUUAUUUAUUUUGUGGAUUAAUUUUCAUUAUCAAAAAGGAGGAGAUCGUUUUCCUCCCGAAUACUCAUGGAUUUUGAUAAUUAACAAUUAAACUACUUUGAUUGCAGUAAUAUCACAAAUAAGGAAGGAAGGAAGCAAUAUAGAUAGUUGAUUUGAG
rnacentral:lncRNA from 1 species